rnacentral:rRNA from 1 species
UACAGAGGGUGCGAGCGUUAAUCGGAAUUACUGGGCGUAAAGCGCGCGUAGGCGGCUUUGCAAGUCGAGUGUGAAAUCCCCAGGCUUAACCUGGGAACUGCAUUCGAGACUGCAUGGCUAGAGUAUGGGAGAGGGAAGUGGAAUUUCAGGUGUAGCGGUGAAAUGCGUAGAUAUCGGAAGGAACAUCAGUGGCGAAGGCGGGUCUCUGGACAGUUCCUGACACUGAGACACGAAGGCCAGGGGAGCAAACGGG